GUAGGUGGCAAGCGUUGUCCGGAAUUUAUUGGGGCGUAAAGCGCGCGCAGGCGGUUCUUUAAGUCUGAUGUGAAAGCCCACGGCUCAACCGUGGAGGGUCAUUGGAAACUGGAGAACUUGAGUACAGAAGAGGAAAGCGGAAUUCCACGUGUAGCGGUGAAAUGCGUAGAGAUGUGGAGGAACACCAGUGGCGAAGGCGGCUUUCUGGUCUGUAACUGACGCUGAGGCGCGAAAGCGUGGGGAGCAAACAGGAUUAGAUACCCUGGUAGUCCACGCCGUAAAUGAUGAGUGCUAAGUGUUAGGGGGUUUCCGCCCCUUAGUGCUGCAGCUAACGCAUUAAGCACUCCGCCUGGGGAGUACGGCCGCAAGGCUG
rnacentral:rRNA from 1 species